rnacentral:sRNA from 1 species
UGUAUCCGAAGCCUGACGAGGAUGAGAACCUCCGGGGGCAAGAGGUUCGACCCGAGCGAAGCGAGAGAACGUUGCGUCAGCAACGGCCCGCAGGGCGAGUCAUCCUCUAUCACCGGCAG